rnacentral:lncRNA from 1 species
GUGACUUGCAGAUUUUUUUAAAGAAUUUAAUUUGAGUUUUAUUUUAUAUUAAAAUUUGUCAAAAUACAUCCCAUAUUUAGAAAAAAUAAUUUAAAUUUUAAAUAUUCAUUAUACAUUUUUUAAUUUUGAAUAGUCCUGUGUCAAAUAUACAUGAAGUAUUUCUGAUGACAUUAACACACUUUAUAUAUUCCUCCACAUUACCAAGGCAUGUAUUAUUUGAUUUUGAAACUAGGACUGCUGCUACCAUUGUGGCACCCUUUGACAAAAUUGCAGUUAGUGCCUCCUUUCCUUCAUCUAUCAUACAUUUGAUAAAAAUAUCCACAACUAUAAAGUUAAUCAGAUAUCUGCAUGGAAAAGCAAUCUCUUAUCAUCUUGCAAGAUUCAGGUUCAAUUCCAGUCCCACAUCUUCAGUUUUUCAGGAUGAAUUACA